GACGAACGCUGGCGGCGUGCUUAACACAUGCAAGUCGAACGGAAAGGCCCCUUCGGGGGUGCUCGAGUGGCGAACGGGUGAGUAACACGUGGGUGAUCUGCCCUGCACUUUGGGAUAAGCCUGGGAAACUGGGUCUAAUACCGGAUAGGACUCCGAGAUGCAUGUCUUGGGGUGGAAAGCUUUUGCGGUGUGGGAUGGGCCCGCGGCCGAUCAGCUUGUUGGUGGGGUGAUGGCCUACCAAGGCGACGACGGGUAGCCGGCCUGAGAGGGUGUCCGGCCACACUGGGACUGAGAUACGGCCCAGACUCCUACGGGAGGCGGCAGUGGGGAAUAUUGCACAAUGGGCGCAAGCCUGAUGCAGCGACGCCGCGUGAGGGAUGACGGCCUUCGGGUUGUAAACCUCUUUCACUAGGGACGAAGCGCAAGUGACGGUACCUAGAGAAGAAGCACCGGCCAACUACGUGCCAGCCGCCGCAGUAA
rnacentral:rRNA from 1 species